GCCUCUUUACACAUUUACAUCAUUGUCUUUAUUACAACAUCACUAAAUAUUCCUUCAGUAUAUCAUCUGAAAGUAUGUACAUAAUCCUAUGGCUGUAGCAAUAACAGUCCUGUGUAUCUCUAUAAUAAAAACGUUACACUCCCAGAAUCCGGAUGUCCACCUGAGAUGCCCUACAGACGGUCAAGACUAUCAACAAAAUAUCUGGGGCUACCCAACUGCUUGCACAGGUUACAGGGAGGAUUUUCAAAACGAAUGACAAUUAGGAUGAGGGUUAAGUUAAUAUUACUGAUAGCUUGUAGAGGAUCUGCAGGUGAACUAUUGGGAGUUCCAAACAGUGUUACUUAAAAUACACCACAAGCCUAGAUAAAGAUAACAGAGAGGUGGUCUAAAAAAGGGAACUGGAAAACACAAAGCUUUUCUGGGGUAAUUCUCUUUUUACCAGAAACUGGAAAUGUUUAUGAAUGAGUCCAAACCAUCAGAAUUGAUUAAACAGAGGAUUCAACACAACACCACAGAGGAUGUGCCAUAAUAAGCCCUAGUGUAUCUCCAUAACAUCUUUUAUACUGGCCUCCUUAAUAUGAAUAAAGCAGACUUUCUGACCACACUUUAUUAGGAAAUAUUGGCCCACUAGACAAUGGCCUGUCUGGAUUGUGGCUCUUAUGUUUAUUGCACACCAGUUAACAGACAGAAGACAUUGAGAGGUGAGGAAAGGCUGGUGUUGGGAUUCCUAUUUUUUUUCUUUCUUUCAUGUGUAGACUAAAAGGAAAAUUACUAUCAUCAGCCCGUUUGACUAAUAGAUAAUGGAGUGUGUGUGCGGGUGUCUCUAAUGACCAAAUACACUAGAAUCCCUGCUGCUCUCUAGUGGCAGGAUUCAGCAUGGAAGAAUAGUGACUCACCAUGACUUCACUAUAUAAUGGCAGCCUAGUCUGUAUGAAUUACAAUAAUGACUUCAAAGCUAAACUAUGUGUAACGCAAGAUCCUUCUCUCUCUAAGCACUUAUGAUUCACAUCUCUAAAACGGAAACAGCUGUACAGCAUUAAAGGUGAAUCUAAAACUGACCCACACAUUAUUACAAACCUGAAUCUUUUUUCCAGUUACACUUUUCGUCGAGAUACAAUGUCUCAAUGUGCAAUAUCAAACUAGAAUUAUUGAUAAGUUUUAAACGUGAUUCAUUU
ensembl:lncRNA